AUGGGGCUGGAUGUCGGCAGUGGUGUGUUGCCGCCGCUGCAUCUGCUCUUCAGGGUUUGGAAGUCACUGACCAGGCCUAGCUGGGUCCCGGGAACGUAUUUCCACCAGUUUGCCUCACCAGUGCCCCUGCAGCACCAGCUCAGCCUGCCACAUCAGGAGGUCAACAAGGAUGGGGGCGGUGUGGAGGCCACAUUUCCUGCUGACGUCUGUGGCCGAUCAGACAGUAUCAUGCAACCCGAAAGUAUCAAGUGUGUGGUGGUGGGUGACAGGGCUGUAGGCAAGACGUGCCUGCUCAUCUGCUAUACAACCAACGCUUUUCCCAAGGAGUACAUCCCCAUGGUGUCUGACAAUUAUAGCGCCCAGAGUGCAGUUGAUGGGCGCACAGUGAAUCUGAACCUGUGGGACACUGCGGGCCAGGAGGAGUAUGAUUGCCUCUGCACACUCUCCUACCCUCAGACCAAUGUUUUUGUCAUCUGUUUCUCCAUUGCCAGUCUGCCCUCCUAUGAGAACGUGUGGCACAAGUGGCAUCCAGAAGUAUGCCACCGCUGCCUGACAUGCCCAUCCUCCUGGUGGGCACCAAGAAGGACCUGAGAGCCCAGCCUGAUACCCUAUGAUGCCUCAAGGAGCAGGGCCAGGUGCCCAUCACACAGCAGCAGGGCCAGGCACUGGCCAAGCAGAUCCACACUGUACACUACUACCUCGAAUGCUCAGCCCUGUAGCAGGAUGGUGUCAAGGAAGUAUUUGCUGAGGCUGUCCGGGCUGUGCUCAACCCCACGCCCAUCAAGCGUGGGUGGUCCUGCAUCCUUUUGUGACCCUGGCACUCAGCUUGGAGGCUGCCCUUGCCAUUCCCCCACCAGUUGUGCCUUGGCGCCUUGUCUACCCCAGCUGUGCCUUACGGACUAAUUCUGGCACCCCUUUCCAAGGGGCUCCCUGAAUGCCUUUUUCUCCGACUACCUUUUUCUUCAUAAAGAGGCCUGCAGAGAAAGGGGCUUUGGGCCCUGCUCCACUCUGCUUGGAAACACUAGUUAUUCUCAUGAGCUCACCCAAGCCAAGGAUGGACCCCUUCCCAAGAGGCCAAUCCAGUACCCCUUCCCUAUUUUCUGCUACUGACCAGUUCAUCCAGCUUUCCACAGUUGCUGCUGCCUAUUGUGGUGCCUCCUCUGGGGUUAGAGGCUCUCAGCCAUCUCUAACCUCUGCCCCUGCUGCUCUUGGAAUUGCACCCCUAAGAUGCUCUCUCCCUUCCUCCAGGAAGGAGUCACAGAAUCCUGAGAAGAUGAAUGUACCCUAACCUGCUUCCAUGUGCCCAGGCCUUAUACAUCUACUGACCGACUCAGCCCCUGUGGUCCUGGGGGCCUUUCUACUCCCAUCAAUAUCAAUAAAACCUCC